GAUGAACGCUGGCGGCGUGCCUAACACAUGCAAGUCGAGCGCGAUUAAGUGGAGUGGAGACUUCGGUCAAAGUGAAGCUUAUGAAAGCGGCGGACGGGUGAGUAACGCGUGGGCAACCUGCCCCAUACAGAGGGAUAGCCACUGGAAACGGUGAUUAAUACCUCAUAAGUCAGUAGCAUCGCAUGAUGUAGCUGACAAAGNUUUANCGGUAUGGGAUGGGCCCGCGUCUGAUUAGCUAGUUGGUGAGGUAACGGCUCACCAAGGCGACGAUCAGUAGCCGACCUGAGAGGGUGAUCGGCCACACUGGAACUGAGACACGGGUCCAGGACUCCUACGGGAGGCA
rnacentral:rRNA from 1 species